CGUCCUAACACAAAAGUCUGGAAUUGUCUGGAAGAAAUGACAAAAGUCUGGAAGUCUGGAAACCUGAAAAAAUGUCUGGCAGAAGUCCAAAAAGUCUGGAAGAUCCAGACAAAAUCUGGAAGGUUGACAUCACUGGUGAAGAAAGUUCUCGAAAGAUCUUGAUUCCAAACUGAUUUCAAUCAAGGUUCAUUUGCCAAGUGGGAUGUGUUUUCCAGUGUUUUUCCAAAACUUUGUUUUCAUUCCUGUGAAAUUGCUGUAAUUUUAUCAUACAUCUUCAUCAUUUAAUUCAAUAUGUGUUACGGAUACGUAGAUUACAACGACCAACAGUCUGCUGGAUUCAAGACAAAGAAGGAGAUUUCUCCCGGGAACAUCUUCCUAGUACCGAAACAACACUUCAAGUACCCCUACCCGAUCACACACUAGAGUCAAAAUUACCCACGAAGGAACCAUCCUGACCGAAGACUGAUCUAUUAAGCGUUGUUCAUCAGUUGAUUUUUGUCGAAAAAAUAAUUUUAGUUAUCAGUUACUAUCUAUCCUUUCCUUCAAUUGUAAGCUCGGGCGCAGAAUUUUGGUCAUGGGACUCAUAUGCGAAUAUUUUUCACAUGGGACACAUCAGGGGUUAUAUUUUUUUCGAAAUUUUGGGAACAAACUUCGAACAAAAACUUGUUUUAUAGGUAAAUAAUUUAUUGUUUUCCAUCGUUAACUCAAAAACGUUGAAAAUCCACAUGGGACGCAUAUGCGAAUAGGGGCAGUAUAGUCUUGUGUUGGACCUCCCAAGUUUCACGUUUAACCUUUAACCUCUCACGUCUCACAGCUCACUCCAUCCAUCCUUUGUCUCACAUCUCAUGUCUUACGACUCAUGCCUCACGUUUGAAGUUCAAUUUCUCGAGUCUCACUCGACUUUAGAACGUGGAUCUUCGAUUUCUAAGUGCUGGGUCAUUUAAAAAAUUUGGGAAUUCUCGAAUCCAGAGAAUAAAAUAUAUCGAUCCCGGAAAUUUCUGACUUUUAGAAAAAGCUUUUUUUUUGUAAGGGAUUUUCAUCCUCUGGGAUGAUUCAUCCCUAUUUUAGAAAAUGCCAGAUUAUGCCAGAUAAUGCCAGAAAACCAUAAGUAGUGUUUUUUAGCGGCCCACCACACUCCCCCACACCAAAAGGCCGAUUGAGCCUCCUGGUAUGGACGCUACUGUUCUCAGCAUGUCUAGCAGCAACAUGAAUUAGGAAAAGCGAGCGAAAUUUUACUCAUGCUGAGAAAGCAAUAAUUGAUAAUUUAGUGUGAGAAAAUGGUUAUUUGUAUAGGACGAAAUAAAAACUACUGUUUUCUGUCAUCACAGGUAUAGAAAAAUAAUCUAAUAAAAGCGAAUGGAGAAUAAUUCCUAAUAAGGUAUUUUGAAUAUACCUAAUUAGGAAUAAUUAAUUUAAAAUUGCAUUUUUUGACGAUUUUGUACUAGAAAUAAAUUAUGUUAUUGUAAGUUUUUAAAAUUUUAUUUUUUUUUUUGUAAUUUUUGGAGUUUUUCUGAAGAUCAAAGAUCUGAAGAUGUAGUAAAAAAAAGAGUUUUAACUAGGUCCUACUCACAUAAUUUACCGAAAAAUAUCAAUAAAAGAAUAUCACAAGAACGUGCGGGGAUCUAAAUCAAACAACAAAAAGCCAUAUUUUAGAGGUUUGAAGUGGUUUUUUUUUACAGUGAAUAAUAGUAAUUUCACAAAUCAUUGAAAAAACCUUAAACUUUUCUUAUUGAUUCAUUUGACUUUUUAAUAGUGUACCUAAAAUACUAUACAAUCGCAGUUAGGCUUCAAUUCAUGAUAUUUCGAUUUGUAUAUUUUUCAUAAUCCAAUGUGAGUUUCAAAAAAAAUGAAUGAAAUAAAAUGAAUGAAAAAAAUGAAUGAAUAAAUGAAAUGAGGUCAUGUCAUUUUCUCUGCCAAAUUGGAACAAAAAACAAUCUAAAGCUAAAUAUAAAUAAAAAUAAAAUAUCAACACGAGACAAUUGAUGAAUAUCAGUCAAAUAAAAGGAAUAAUUGAUAAGAUAGCUUUUUUUCAAACCAAUUUAAAUCAGUAUUUUAUGAAAAAAAAGUCAAACAAUCUAUUCAAAUUGGAUAUGGGCAGGCGAAAGUUGUGCUUAUCAGUAUCAAGAAAAAAAUAGGUAUGAAAUUGUUUGAAACGAAUGCAUUAGUAUUCUUAGACAAAUUUUUGAACAUUUUUCAAUCAAAAUAAUUAUUGUACUUAAUUUAAGAAAUACAAUUUAAUGAUUUUAUCCAUAUUUUUAAUGAUUA